GACGAACGCUGGCGGCGUGCUUAACACAUGCAAGUCGAACGAAGAGCGAUGGAAGCUUGCUUCUAUCAAUCUUAGUGGCGAACGGGUGAGUGACGCGUAAUCAACCUGCCCUUCAGAGGGGGACAACAGUUGGAAACGACUGCUAAUACCGCAUACGAUCUAAACUCGGCAUCGAGGAUAGAUGAAAGGUGGCCUCUACAUGUAAGCUAUCACUGAAGGAGGGGAUUGCGUCUGAUUAGCUAGUUGGAGGGGUAACGGCCCACCAAGGCGAUGAUCAGUAGCCGGUCUGAGAGGAUGAACGGCCACAUUGGGACUGAGACACGGCCCAGACUCCUACGGGAGGCAGCAGUGGGGAAUCUUCCGCAAUGGACGAAAGUCUGACGGAGCAACGCCGCGUGAGUGAUGACGGCCUUCGGGUUGUAAAGCUCUGUUAAUCGGGACGAAAGGCCUUCUUGCGAAUAGUGAGAAGGAUUGACGGUACCGGAAUAGAAAGCCACGGCUAACUACGUG
rnacentral:rRNA from 1 species